UUUGUCAGGGGAGACGCAGACCCGGGCCGAGCUUCACUCGGUCACCGUUCGACGGCCCGGUGAGUCAGUGGUGAGACCGCCCCCACCCA
rnacentral:ncRNA from 2 species